ACUCAAAUGAAUUGACGGGGACCCGCACAAGCGGUGGAGCAUGUGGAUUAAUUCGAUACUAACCGAAGAACCUUACCCAGGUUUGACAUCGAUGGUAAGCCGUUGAAAGGCGGCCCUCCCCCACAAGGGGACCUGAAGACACUUGUUGCAUGGCUGUCGUCAGCUCGUGCCGUGAGGUGUACGGUUAAGUCCGCCAACGAGCGCAACCCUCGUCCUGUGUUACCAGCAUUAAUGGUGGGGACUCACAGGAGACCGCCGGUGUAAGCCGGAGGAAGGUGGGGAUGACGUCAAGUCAGCAUGGCAGUUACGCCUGGGGCUUCACACAUGCUACAAUGGACGCAACAAAGGGCAGCGAUACCGCGAGGUGGAGCCAAUCCCAAAAAUACGUCCUCAGUUCAGAUUGCAGUCUGCAACUCGACUGCAUGAAGUCGGAAUCGCUAGUAAACGCAGGUCAGCUAUACUGCGUUGAAUACGUUCCCGGGUCUUGUACACACCGCCCGU
rnacentral:rRNA from 1 species